rnacentral:tRNA from 2 species
GGCUUUAUAGUCAAUUUAAUUAUGAUGUUAGACUGCAAUUCUAGAGUAGAAUAUAUAUUCUAAAGCUU